rnacentral:lncRNA from 1 species
GUCUGGCGUGUGAAGUGCAUGUAUUGAUAUAUGGUGGUGUGUACUCUCCUUUAAUUAUUUCUUGCGGGAUAAAACAUUUUGACGUUGUUUCCUUGUGCUAUCAUCUGUUUGAGCUUUCUGAUGUGUAAGACGAGCACCUCUGUCUACGCAUCAGACAUAUUCUGAUGACCCUAACAUCAUGGCUGGACAAUGGGGUACCAUCUCGUGAAAGGUAGCCAAACUAAAUGUCCGUGAUGCAUUUAUCUAAUAGUAAGAAUCAAUUAAAUGUUAUACUACGUAGUAGUACCCAUACGUACCAAAUUAAAUCAAUCUCCAGCUAAAUUUUUUUUUGUCUCAAAUUAAAUCAACUUCUACACAUAGCUCCCUCUUUUAUUCACA